UAAAGAUUCAUCGGCUGCGGAUGGCCAUGCGGCGCAUUAGCUAGUCGGCGGGGUAACGGCCCACCGAGGCGACGAUGCGUAGGGGUUCUGAGAGGAAGGUCCCCCACACUGGUACUGAGACACGGACCAGACUCCUACGGGAGGCAGCAGUGAGGAAUAUUGGUCAAUGGCCGGGAGGCUGAACCAGCCAAGUCGCGUGAGGGAAGACGGCCCUACGGGUUGUAAACCUCUUUUGUCAGGGAGCAAGAGGCGGGUCGAGACCUGCUGUGAGAGUACCUGAAGAAAAAGCAUCGGCUAACUCCGUGCCAGCAGCCGCGGUAAUACGGAGGAUGCGAGCGUUAUCCGGAUUUAUUGGGUUUAAAGGGUGCGCAGGCGGAGGCACAAGUCAGCGGUAAAAUCGCGGGGCUCAACCCCGCUCCGCCGUUGAAACUGUGUCCCUUGAGUGCGCGAAGGGUAGGCGGAAUGCGUGGUGUAGCGGUGAAAUGCAUAGAUAUCACGCAGAACUCCGAUCGCGAAGGCAGCCUACCGGCGCGCGACUGACGCUCAUGCACGAAAGCGUGGGUAUCGAACAGGAUUAGAUACCCUGGUAGUCCACGCAGUAAACGAUGAAUGCUAUCUGUCCGGCCGGAAUGACGGCUGG
rnacentral:rRNA from 1 species